AACCUCUUCUACUCCGUCCAAAAUCUCGAAGGGCCCGACACGGGGAGGAGGAGGAGUCCUCCUCCACGGACGCUGUCGGAGGCCUAGCCUCCUCUUCGAUCAAGCUAAUCCGCCGCGAGAAUCGCGGUGGAGCAACUACCUUCCGAGCUUAUCCCCCUCAUCCUCGAGUUAAUCCCCUUCGGAAAAACCCUCUUAAAUCUCCCACCUCUUAGCAAUCGAACCACCACCAAGCGCCUCCUCUUCCUCUCCUCUCCUUCCUCCUCCUUUUUCUGGCGACCGGCGAGCUCCCCCGGCCGAGCACUGUCCGAAUCCUUCUUCGCGAGCCUCCCCCUGUUCCGAGAUUGAUUUUGGCCGUCGAAAAGCCCCACCGCCGUCGCCGCCGCUAGCCACCGGACCUAGCCGCCCGUCGGAUGAGACCCGCCGCUUCCACCGCCGGUUGGAAAGGAGCAUCAAGGAGCACCCAAUAGUGCCUCCUGUCCACUAUUUGAGCAAGGAAGAGCUAGUGAUCCAUAUGUUGGAAGUUGACACUAGGCAUAUCCAACUCAGGCCAAGUACUUUGUGGCACUCAUUGCUUCUUUAGACUUUAUAAAAGCAUAGUAGGCAUGCGUUUCGUAGUAGAUUUAUAGCUAUGCUCAGGUGCACUCGGGUUCCAAUUCAUGUAUAACUAACAAUUCAUUUGGUUCUUGAAAAGAAUUUUUUCUCACUAAAUUUUUCUUUUUUGGAAAGCUAAUGCUUAGAUAUAUGAUGCUACGAAAAAUAAUUUUGCAUGUUUCGUUAACCAUAGAAAUGUAGCACAUUUUAGAAUGUCUUAUGUUUCUCUGAGUAUCUACUUUCCUAGAAAAAUGAUGUAAUAUACUUAUUAUAUCCUUUCUAAAGAAUAAAAAUCUUGCCUCGUUCAAUCUAAAAGCUUAAGAAUAUAUUAAAAAAAUUAAUUUUCAGCAAGUGAGAUUAAACUUUUUUAUAUUUUACAUGAGUUUUUUUAAUAUAAAAAAUUUAUUUUUUUAAACAAUCAACCAAAUAUAAUAUGUUUGUUGACCAUAUUUUUUUUUUCUUGUAUGGACCAGAGGAGCCAUAAAAGAACUAACCUUUACCUUAGCAGGCUCGUUUGCCUCACUCUCUCUGGGUAAAGUAUAAUGACAAUUUGUCCACUUGUAAGGCAGGCAGGUUUCUUGUCAUUGGAAUCUAAACAAAAAUCCUCGAUCAUGUUGUAAAAAAAAGAAAAAAGGCGCCGUUCUAAUUAAAGAAAAAGAAAAUGCACCACUCGAUCUUUAGUUUCUUUUUUCUCGGUUAAACAUUAGUAUCACACCAGGCUUCACAGGUGAUUUGUCGCUUCCUUUACCUUUUGAAGUAUACAAACCUCGCACCAUAGCGGACUGAACAAAUGCUUCACUCAAGAAAAAGUUGGUGCUUCAUUUGAUAUCCAUUUAGGAACAUGAAUGGUGCCAUUUUCAAGCUCUAAUCGGGUUCAUUACAGGAAAGCUUUGCCGUAAUUUACUAGACAACAGAUUAUGCAUUCGCACAAAAUACCCUCCUACUCUCCAUUCAUGAGAGGCCUCCUGAUCUCCCAUGCUUUCAGCUCCGAAACUUUAUAUCCUCCAACCCAUUGUU